rnacentral:rRNA from 1 species
CGUAACAAGGUCUCCGUUGGUGAACCAGCGGAGGGAUCAUUACAGAGUUUACAACUCCAUACCAUUUGUGAAUCUAUACCCAUCUAUGCCUCGGCGUGAGCUGCGGGAUGGACGGACGCGCCUCGGUGCGGGGUGUUACCCUGUAGCGAGGUCGCGGCCAGCUCCUACUGCCGCCCGCCGGCGGUACACUAAACUCUUGUUUUAUUGUAUCUUCUGAGGGUUAUUAUUAAAUAAUCAAAACUUUCAACAACGGAUCUCUUGGUUCUGGCAUCGAUGAAGAACGCAGCGAAAUGCGAUAAGUAAUGUGAAUUGCAGAAUUCAGUGAAUCAUCGAAUCUUUGAACGCACAUUGCGCCCAUUAGUAUUCUAGUGGGCAUGCCUGUUCGAGCGUCAUUUCAACCCUUAAGCCUAGCUUAGUGUUGGGAGUCCACUGCACUGUGGCUCCUCAAAGACAGUGGCGGAGCGAUAGCAGUCCUCUGAGCGCAGUAAUUUAUUAUCUCGCUUUUGUUAGGCGCUAUCCUAUAGCCAUUAAACCCCCAACUUUUUAGUGGUUGACCUC